GGGGCUGUAGCUCAGUGGUAGAGUUCUUGCCUCACAUGUAUGUGGAAGGCACUGGAUUCAAUCCUCAGCACCA
rnacentral:tRNA from 1 species